AGCAGAGCAGCAAGCUUUUUAUAAUGCAGCCUCAUAAGAACAAAAUAAACUUUCCCUCUUGUCUAUAAAGGAACAGACAACUGAGACAUCGGCUACGUGGCCUGAGACUAUUGUGAUUACUUCCCAUGUAUGAACUCGCUGAGUGCUAAAAACAACCCUACUACCAAGGAAUUCCAGCAAUAAAGUCACACAUUACCUGAAAGAUCUCCAGCAGAGGGAUUUCUGGGCCAACGUUACUCACCUACGGAGCGUCCGCAGCUCCUAGCUUGGAUGAAAGGAAAGUUUCAUUAGCUUUAUUUACUUCUUCCGAUGUAAUUGGUCAGGAGAGUAUAAAUGCUGAUGUCAUGUCUAAUUAGCGGUGGCCUCUGCCCUUCUGGUCACAGCACCGCGUCUGGCUUGUUUGUGUGGAUGGAGCAGUUUCACGGGGAGCGUCUUUAUGAACUAGCUCUCCCAUGGAGCUGCUGUAAUUAUCAUUUAAGAAAACAAGCUUUUUGAUGUUCUGUAGACAGUGCAGCGACAUCUCCCCAACAGGGCUAAUAAUUUUAACCCCCUUUCAGUACAUGAUGGGCUUUUUCCACAGGUGAUCACAUCAGAUCCUGGGGAACUAGAAACUGGGGACUCAUCUCUGCUCCUCUCAUCCUGGACACCUUGCCGAUCUUGGCGUCAGUCGAGUCUGUCAAGGUCUCUAAAGCUAAUGGUUUGUAUUGGCAUGGAUUUUGCCAGGCAUCUGAAAUUCAGAUUAAACAACCAAUGCAACCAUCA